CAAAGAGUAAGAGGGGGUCUGUACUCUUAACCGCUCAGCCAUCUCUCCAACCCCUGUUUGGGCUUUGUAAUUAGGUUUCACAUAGCUUGGGCUGAGUUGCUGUUGGGGUAGAACUCUCUGCCCACAUCCAGAAAGACCACACCAAUCCAACAUGGUUCCACGUGCAGAGCUUUAAUGAGAGAAGAAGAGUAGCAGAGGGGAAGGAUAAAGGCCGGCCAUGAGCACGUGGAAUGGGGAGAGAAGGGACAAAGGAGAAGAGGGGAAGAGCAGGGAGCAAGAGAAGAAAGAACAAGAGAAGAGGAGGGGCCAAGCAGUCAGGCACAGCUGACUGUUGCCAGGUAACCGUGGGGCAACUGUGGGGGUGGAGCUUAGACAGAAUACCAACAGUUGCAACUCACAAUGUGCCAGAGGAGGACGGCUUCUUCCCGCUUCUGAUCUCCUGCCGUGCCCUGCUGAAUACUGGGAUUACCGGCAUGCAGCACCUUGCUGGGCUGGAACUUUCUAAAGCUAAAGCAGUUUGGCUUUAUAUGUUUAUUUGACAGUUUCAUUUCCUACCCUCAAAGCAAGAACCAGAAGAGUACAAGCAAUGGAAUGUAGAUAAGUGUGGCCCUCACUCCUCAUCAAGCACACAUCUCCAUGGCAGAUGGAGACCAUUACAGAAAACCACAACCCAUCAAACUGCAGAGCAAAGGAGCAUGUGGUGCCCAGCCCCAGCUGAUCCAUCUACAGCUUGACUCCCUCACCUAAGGCUCAAGGAGCAUCUCAGAAGAAAGGACUCAAUGACUGUCAGAGUAACAGGAAGUCCUCUGUGAAAUCAUGUCCCCUAGAAAUGUCACAGACACUACACUCACGAAGCCUCAACAACAUGGCUGCCUAAACAAGGCCUGAACAGGAACAACUUCAGCGUACACAUUAACAUGGAAUGGGGAGUUCUCACAGGGACCCAACCCUAGGAAAAGAACUUCAGGCAACUAAGGACUGCGGAGAGAAGGAGACAACUUUUGAUGUUGAAGGGAUUCUGACCAACUUGGGCAUGGCGAGCAUGUCCCUGGCAGGCCCUGCCCUUCUCCCCAUUCCCUCUGCCUUGCUAAAAACUGUUAGAUUACGCUCCUAAAGCUACCCCCCAAGGUCUACCCCCUUAUUUGCCCACUUCCUCCUCCCUAGGCUGACUACUAAGGUUCAGCUAUCAAAGUAUUGAAGUCCAGUAAUCAAAGCCCCCUUUGGCUCACCUAAUUAACAUGCUCAAUUAAAAUUAAACACCUCAUCCUAACACAGGAUUUCCCCCUUGCACUUUUGUAAAUUGACAUUUUUCCUAUGUGCCACACCUAUCUUCUAUUUAGAGGCAGUCCUUUGUCCUCCUGGAAGAAAUCCCCCUCCUCCUGCUCCCUUGUUCCCUUCCCCUUUCCCCCCCCCCAUUCUCUAUCUCCUGGCUUUGUCUCUUAUUCCCUGUGCUUUGUCCCUCUGGGCCAAAGAAAUCUCCUGUGUGUGGAGAACUUGGUCUUGGGGGUCAUGAGCUGAAACUUUUCCUUUCAGAUGUUGUUUUCUUUGAGUCUAGAUGAGGGCUGCCUGAAUUCGGCUUCUCGUGUUCUCAGGGUUUCCUUUUCCUUCUCCCUCGUCUAGGUCAGGACAAAGCUUGACAUCUCUGAUAAGGCUUGCUCUGGGAGAAGAUGGGUGUUUCCUUCCAUCCCUCCCCCUCACAGAUCACAGUCAUCCAAGCCUCCCAUCCCUCCCCUCUCACAGAUCACAGUCAUCCAAGUCUUCUGUAUUUGUCUUACAUCUUGGGCCCAAACACUUGCCAAUCCUACUUGCAUGGUCAUUAGAGCCCAAAGUCACUGUUAACCAAACCUACUAAACAAUAAAUCCUGAGUGGUCUGGCAGUGGCUUCCAGGGCAUUGCCUACCUUCCUACAAACUCUAGAGUAGAUCUCAUAUAUUUGUAUUCAGCAUAUCCAAGUAGUUUAGUGCUGGAUUAUUUAGCCAGUAGUAAUGCUGGAAAUCUACGACUCCAGUGUGCUUUGCUUUGAACAUUUCCAUCCUUGCUAUCAGGGAAUCUGGUAAGGUGUGGAUAUGAAACCACUUUGGAAAACGGGUUCAUUUACAUCAGGUACAAUGGAAUAUACCUAUAUAGCUUACGAUCCUAGCUAUGUGGAAGAUUAAGGCCAGUAGAUACUUUGAGGUGUAUCUAGGCAACAUAACAAGACCCUUCCUUAGUGACCUGUAGUUCUUUGCCUAGGGUUAGGUUCCUGUAAGGUUUUCCCCCUUCCGUGUUAAGGUGUCUACUGGUGUUGUUCUUGUUCGGGUCUUGUUAAGGCAGUCAUGUUGUUGAAGAAAAAAAAAAGGCUUAUCUG